rnacentral:rRNA from 1 species
UACGGAGGGUGCAAGCGUUGUCCGGAUUUAUUGGGUUUAAAGGGUGCGUAGGCGGUUUGUUAAGUCCGGGGUGAAAGCCCACUGCUCAACAGUGGAACUGCCCUGGAAACUGGCGGACUUGAGUACAGACGAGGGCGGCGGAAUGGAUGGUGUAGCGGUGAAAUGCAUAGAUACCAUCCAGAACCCCGAUUGCGAAGGCAGCUGCCUAGACUGUAACUGACGCUGAGGCACGAAAGCGUGGGGAGCGAACAGG